rnacentral:miRNA from 10 species
AGUUCCAUGUAUGCAUCGAGCA